rnacentral:lncRNA from 1 species
UGAUAAACAUCACAAAUGCAUAAAUCUAGAUACAAGGACAGCAAGGUACAUAUUUCAUAACGGGGUUCACAAGCCCAUCAUACAACACAAAAUAUAGCAGCGGAAGUUUCAUAAUUUCUCAUAAGCAAAAGAAAAACCUGUGGUGUGCCAACAACCCCACAAGGGCAACCAAUCGGGGCAAGAGCGAACUUCAACUACUCGCUACCCUCGCCACCCUUGGUGGGAUAGUAGUAGGGCACAACAUCAACGCCGGCAUCCUCACCUGAAAAUAGCAACAUGAGUACGAAAGGUACUCCGCAAGACUUACACCAUAUAUGAUAGUACAAAGGAGUAUGCAAAUUUCUACAUCAAAGGAAAUGGCUAAGUGGUUCAGAUUUUGCAUAGAGCUAAUUUUGUUGAGCAAGUAGUAAGUUGCAAAUAUAACAUUUGUACAAAAUAGCAUAAUCCGAAAUUUAGGACAGCAAGCAAGUAAAUCUGAAAUUGAAUCACAAAUGAGCACAACCGGUGCUCUCAUCACCAUCCAUGGGCUACCGUUGCCCAACCAUGGAUUCCAAACAUAACUAUCACCAUAUCCAUGACUAAACCAGCCAUUUAACCCAAGUUUGAUGCUAACAUAGACUGACUAACACAUCAAGCGAUCGUCCUAUAACCGUGGACACGGCUAUUCGAAUAGUUUUACUCUGAUCAGAGGUGUACAACUUUACCCACACGAAAUGAACAAGGAUCAAAUGCUUCACACGCACACAGGUGUGACCUACAAGUGAUACAAGCUCAUAACAUGUCCUUUCCUAGUGACACCCCAACCACCUAAACCACGCCUAGGCCCCCGUCGACUUAGCCACGUGCGUGUGAUGUGGCCAGCUCACCAUCGCGGGAGAAACCCCCUGCCAAAAUCAGGCACACCCGGGGCAAUCCAAAGGGAAAACCACCCUCACGAAUGACCAGCAAGACGUAGAUGAGCACAGUGCAACAUAGUACUAAGACAAGCCGGUCCCAAAUAAGGUGUGUGGAAGUACGUAUGGUGCUUGAAUAGACGUCAACAUGUUCGGUCCUUAACAACCCAGACAAGGCUACUUGCAUCAGGGAAAAUGACCAUCCCGUCAUCGCCCUAUCACACGUCCAAGCUAAAGCAUGUUUCCAUAUUAAUCAUUGAGUGAGGUAAUCAGAUUUUAAUGCCCAUAAAUCGCGGGUGGUGAAUAAGUUCAUCCGAUGGCUCCAUCCAUCGAUUUCUAACAACAGUAGACCUAAGCAUGGCUAAGCAUUCGAUGAUAGAAUAAACCAUCCUAACCAUUUACAAUUGAAGGUGACAAGGUUACAUGGCAACAAUAUAUUAAAGGAAGGGAAAUGCAUGAACUUGGAUAUAAACAACUCUACCCGUUACCGACAUUUUAAGGCAAUUCAACUUAUGCAUAUAUAUAGUUUUUGCAAGCAAAUAAGUUUUGUGAAAUCAUAGGUUCAAUAUCCAUAGACGCUUGCCUUGCUGCUGUGCGGAAACACACUCAACCUCUGAGUCUUGCUCCACGUAUUCCAAAUUCUCCGAAUCUACCAAUAAGAGGCAAAUAUGCAAAUAAGAUUCAAAUAAAUAUGCAUAUGCAACAUGCUCUAUAAAUCAUGGCCUAAUUACAGUAGGUAGAGAGUAUGAUAAACUAAUUUUAGGAACAAGAAUCAACUCAUUUACAUUUAUGGUUUGAGAGGUAUAAAAAUAACAAGCCAUAUACACUGAAAAUGGCAUUGUUUCAGUUACAUAUGAACUAACCUAAGUCAUAUGAAAAACUGACAUUUUCUUAACAGAAGUUGAAAAGUUUUCCUUUACAAACAUAAGGUCUACAAGGUUAUGAAUACACAGGGAUUUGAUUCAUUCAAAGAUGAGUUAAAAUGAAAUACUUAUGGAUUUUUGAAGUUUUCCCAUUUCUCAACAAGGUCCAGCUUCUUCUCCAAUUGAGCAGGAAGCAGAGACAGCCAUGGCUGAGCUCGAUCUCAAGCUCGCUGGCAGCAAACGAUGGCUCUAAUUGGGGCAAGGUCAAAAGAGAACAUGGAGAACAAGUCUUUGAGAUUCCAUUCCUAUACUCUACCCAGCCCAGUGGUGGCCGGACAGGUGCAGGCAGCGGCUGCAAGUGGCAGCGCUCGGGAUGUCAUGCAUGUAACGAUGCAGCGCUGUGGGUGGUUCGCUCUAUUGCAUGCAUGUCAAGAACAUCACAUGCAAGAAAAACAUACAUUAAGGACUUGAUCCUACUGCUAAGAAGACACUUUUUGGCUUGAGGUGAAGAGCUGAUACCUCACCAAAACAGGGAAGCAAAGAAGACACCGAGCAGUUGUCACCAAAGGAGAGAAAACAACGUGCAACCUGCUCCUAGCCUUGAAAUCUUGAACCGGCGACCGGUGGAGGAGGCUAGGAAUGCUCAGCAUAUUAGGGAACCUAAGAGAGAAGCUAUGGAUGGGGAAGGAAGCUCACCAAGUGGAGGAAAACGAAGUGUUACUGCUACUGCACCAAGCAGCAAGCUCCUUCUCUUUUCUUCUCGAUCUCCCUCACAAAUCUAUGCAUGUGCAAGCCAUUUGGAUGGAUGGAAAGCUUAGAAUCACAAGGAUCUAGUGGUGUGACAUGCAGGGCU